rnacentral:rRNA from 1 species
ACGGGGUGCAGCAGGCGCGAAAACUUCAUAAUGGGCGAAAGCCCGAUGAGGGAAUUUCUAGUGCUAGCACAUUUGUGCUAGCUUUUCCUUAGCGUAGAUAACUAGGGGAAUAAGGGCUGGGUAAGACGGGUGCCAGCCGCCGCGGUAAUACCCGCAGCCCGAGUGGUGGUCGAUUUUAUUGAGUCUAAAACGUUCGUAGCCGGUCUGAUAAAUCCCUGGGUAAAUCGGGUGGCUUAACCAUCCGAAUUCCGGGGAGACUGUCAGGCUUGGGAUCGGGAGAGGUAUGAGGUACUUCAGGGGUAGGGGUAAAAUCCUGUAAUCCUUGGAGGACCACCGGUGGCGAAGGCGUCAUACUAGAACGAAUCCGACGGUGAGGGACGAAGCCCUAGGUCGCAAACGGGAUUAGAUACCCCGGUAGUUCUAGGGUGUAAACGCUGCAGACUAGGUGUUGGAGGCCCUACGGGGGGCACCCAGUGCCCGAGAGAAAGUUGUUAAGUCUGCUACUUGGGGAGUACGUCCGCAAGGGAUGAAACUUUAAAGGAAUUGGGCGGGGGAGCAC